GCCUACAACUAUGCCACCCUGAACAAGCUCGAUGUCAGAUCUUGGUAACUGAGCAGGGUCGGGCCUGGUUAGUACUUGGAUAAGCGACCACCUAAGAAGACCUGGUGCUGUAGGCG
rnacentral:rRNA from 1 species